ACCCGCUGAACUUAAGCAUAUCAAUAAGCGGAGGAAAAGAAACCAACAGGGAUUGCCCUAGUAACGGCGAGUGAAGCGGCAACAGCUCAAAUUCGAAAUCUGGCGCAAGCCCGAGUUGUAAUUUGUAGAGGAUGCUUCUAGGUAGCGACCGGUCUAAGUUCCUUGGAACAGGACGUCAUAGAGGGUGAGAAUCCCGUAUGUGACUGGCCCGCACCUUCUACGUAGCUCCUUCGACGAGUCGAGUUGUUUGGGAAUGCAGCUCUAAAUGGGAGGUAAAUUUCUUCUAAAGCUAAAUACCGGCCAGAGACCGAUAGCGCACAAGUAGAGUGAUCGAAAGAUGAAAAGCACUUUGGAAAGAGAGUUAAAAAGCACGUGAAAUUGUUGAAAGGGAAGCGCUCACAACCAGACUUCUAGGCAGUGUUCCGCCGGUCUUUUGACCGGUCUACUCUCUGUCUCGAGGCCAACAUCAUCUGGGACCGCCGGAUAAGACCUUAGGAAUGUAGCUCCCCUCGGGGAGUGUUAUAGCCUCUGGUGAUGCGGCGCGUCUCGGGUGAGGUCCGCGCUUCGGCAAGGAUGUUGGCGUAAUGGUUGUCAGCGGCCCGUCUUGAAACACGGACCAAGGAGUCUAACAUCUAUGCGAGUGUUCGGGUGUCAAACCCCUACGCGUAAUGAAAGUGAACGGAGGUGGGAAGCGUAAGCUGCACCAUCGACCGAUCCUGAUGUCCUCGGAUGGAUUUGAGUAAGAGCAUAGCUGUUGGGACCCGAAAGAUGGUGAACUAUGCCUGAAUAGGGUGAAGCCAGAGGAAACUCUGGUGGAGGCUCGCAGCGGUUCUGACGUGCAAAUCGAUCGUCAAAUUUGGGUAUAGGGGCGAAAGACUAAUCGAACCAUCUAGUAGCUGGUUCCUGCCGAAGUUUCCCUCA
rnacentral:rRNA from 1 species